rnacentral:sRNA from 1 species
GGCUGGGGCUCUGGUGUCCUGGCUCAGGCUUGUCUCUGUGUGUAGCUGAGUACCAGUCAUUGUGCCCUCACGGCCGGGGCUACCUGGCGCCCAGUGGAGACCUGAGCCUCCGGAGAGACGUGGACGAAUGUCAGCUCUUCCGAGACCAGGUGUGCAAGAGUGGCGUGUGCGUGAACACGGCCCCGGGCUACUCAUGCUAUUGCAGCAACGGCUACUACUACCACACACAGCGGCUGGAGUGCAUCGGUACAAGCCCCACCUCCCCCAACCCCCGGCAACUCUCUCCAACCCCUAGCCUUGCCAGCUCCCCUCUGGAAUGUGGCCACCACCAGCGGGAAGUCUUUCCUGGAGUCUAGACUCCAUCCAUCACACUGCCAAUGUGCUGGGAAGAGAAAUGGGAAAGGGUGAGGAGAGUUGAAGGGGAUGCCUCUUAAUCAUCCUCUCCC